rnacentral:ncRNA from 1 species
GUUAUUGAAGUUACAAGUUUAGUUAUCGUUUUCAGUUCUUUGAAUACGGACAAGAGGAGGCUGAUGUAGUGACAAGAACCUUUUCAGCAAUAGCUAGUGAUUUCGUAAAAUAGUACUAAAUAAGUACACAACUCGCUUAAUUCUUUAAGCAAAUCCCUUAUUUGUAUUUGUAGACCUUUCCCAGUCUCAAAUCCAAUUCAAUUUUAACAUUGUCUAUAACAGAGACAAAUUAAAAUUAAACAUGUAAGCUAUCGUAAACAUCAUUCAAUUUAUCAUUUUAAUCGAUAAAUUCACUAAUUUUUUUCAUAAUUAAUAACAUCCCCAAAAAUAGAUAGAGAAAUAACUGUAUAAAACAUUCCCUUAAUAAUAAGUUACAAAACCGUGAGUCCCUCCCAAGCUCACGGUUU